GACGAACGCUGGCGGCGUGCUUAACACAUGCAAGUCGAACGGAAAGGCCCUGCUUUUGUGGUGUUCUCGAGUGGCGAACGGGUGAGUAACACGUGAGUAACCUGCCCUUGACUUUGGGAUAACUUCAGGAAACUGGGGCUAAUACCGUAUAGGAGCUCCUGCUGCAUUGUGGGGGUUGGAAAGUUUCGGCGGUUGGGGAUGGACUCGCGGCUUAUCAGCUUGUUGGUGGGGUAGUGGCUUACCAAGGCUUUGACGGGUAGCCGGCCUGGGAGGGUGACCGGCGACAUUGGGACUGAGAUACGGCCCAGACUCCUACGGGAGGCAGCAGUGGGGAAUAUUGCACAAUGGGCGGAAGCCUGAUGCAGAAACGCCGCGUGCGGGAUGACGGCCUGCGGGUUGUAAACCGCUGUCGCCUGUGACGAAGCGUGAGUGACGGUAAUGGGUAAAGAAGCACCGGCUAACUACGUG
rnacentral:rRNA from 1 species